CCCUCCCCUCCAAAACCCCUAAACCCCUCAAACCCAACAUCCCCCGCUCCUCCCUCUCAACCCGACCCGAAACCGCCUCCACCUCCGCCAUCCAACGAAUCUCCGACAAGCUCCGCAGCCUCGGCUACCUCCCCCAAACCCUAACCCUAACACUAACCCUAACCUCACCUCCGCCGGCGAGAUCUUCAUCCCUACCCCUCACGAGCUCCCCAAGCACCGCGUCGGCCGCACGAUCGACUCCAGCUGGAGCUCGCCGGAGAAUCCAGUACAUGAGCCUGGAACUGGGAUUAGGAGGUUUCGAGAGCUGUGGCGAAAGGAGGAGGAGGAGGGAAGGGAGCUGAGGAGGAAGGAGAAGGAGGAGGAGAACAUGCCGACGGUGGCGGAGCUGAAGAGGCUGAGGAGGGUUGGGAUUAGGCUAGAGAAGAGGUUGAAGGUUGGAAAAGCUGGGAUUACGGAGGGGAUUGUGAAUGGGAUCCAUGAAAGGUGGAGGAGCUCAGAGUUGGUGAAGAUUAAGUGCGAGGAUCCUUGUAGGAUGAAUAUGAAGAGGACCCAUGAGAUUUUGGAGUACUAGCAUUCAGCUGCAUCGUUGAAAAUAUACUCUUUGGGUUGCAAUACAUUUGCCUUCCAGCGAGCACAUCAAUUUUGGACAAUGGUCUCCCCAUCACCAUUUUAAUUCAGGACAUGCCCCGAUAUCAUCUUACAAAUCUCUGCCACUACACAAAAACUCCGUCUCUGCACCAAAACUCUGAAGUUGCGUUGAUGGUUGAGGGUUGUGAAAAUCAUCUUGAGGCUUCUUUCAAAACAUGGUAUUUGCACCUUGAGGUUUCCAUACAUUCAAAUCACGCAAUGUUGCGAUGUUAUUGCAAUCUUACUAUUAAAGUGGUACAUGUUCUGUUUAUUGGACAUAUUGUUAGGAGUUGAAGAACUUGUAAAUGAGAUGUCAGAAGCUGUUAUAUAUCUUCCCAACUUUUUUUUAAGGAACAGUUCCUUGAGCUAGGCUUACAAGAUGGGAAGUAAAUCAUGAAGAAAUGCUUCCUGCAAUGCUAUCUCCUCUCUUUACUGUGCCAGGUUCCAUUUAUAUUUUUAUAUGUAAACCCAACAAACUGUUAUUUGCAUAUUGCACAAAAAGCAUGUACAUUUUUUUCUGGCAUUAUCAGGGCCUUUAAUGAAACUCAUACUGAAUA